rnacentral:tRNA from 1 species
GCCCGACUGAAGGGAACUGGCAUACCUAGCUCACUUAAAAUGAGUUGCUUGCAGGUUCGAGUCCUGCGUCGGGCA